GAUGAACGCUGGCGGCGUGCCUAAUACAUGCAAGUCGAGCGAUCAGACGCGGAGCUUUCUCCUCUGACGUUAUCGGUGGCCGGGUGAGUAACACGUGGAUAACAUACUUAUCACACCUGGUUAACUUCGGGAUACCGGUGCUGCUAAUGGAUAAUAUUCUGAACCUCAUGGUUCAAUAGUGUAAGACGGUUUUGCUUUCACUUAUAGAUGGACUCGCGCCGCAUUAGCUAGUUGGUAAGGUAAUGGCUUACCAAGGCAGUGAUGCGUAGCCGACCUGAGAGGGGGAUCGGCGGCACUAGAGCUGAGACACGGUCCAGACGCCUACGGUGGGCAGCAGUAGGGAAUCUUCCGGAAUGAGCGGAAACCUGACGGAGCAACGCCGCGGGAGGGGUGAAGGUCUUCUGAUCGUAAUGCUCUGUUAUUAGGGGAGAAGAAAUGUGUAAUUAACUGUGCACGUCUUGACGGUAGCUAAUCAGAAAGCGACGGCUAACUACGUG
rnacentral:rRNA from 1 species